CUUCAGUUUCGCAUCUGGACCUUCAAUAUUCACAUCUGGAACAUCAACGUCCACCUUGGGUCCUGAGACGUCAAGGUCAGCCUUGGGCAGGUUCACAUCCACUUCUGGACCUUCUCCUUUGAAGCCAGGCAUGCUGAUCUUGGGCAUUUUUAUCUUAGGCAUCUUCAGGUGCCAGUCUGGGCCUUGAACAUCCACAUCUGGGGCAUUAAUAUCCACUUUGGGGCCUUUAAUAUCCACGUCAGGAACUUUCAUGUCACCUUCCACUUUUGGCAGAGACACAUCUGGGGCAUUAAUAUCCACUUUGGGCCCCUUGAUGUCAACUUCGGGGCCCUUGAGGUCACCUUCCACUUUG
rnacentral:lncRNA from 1 species